AAAUGCAUGUGUCUCCUUUAAUUGCCAUGCAUAGCAUUUAUAUACAGAUUGUUAUGCUAGAUAUUUUACCUAUAUACUUCCCUUUGGUCCUGGCUCCUCAUGGCUCUGAUGAUGUUUAGAAUGGAGCACAUGUUUAUCUAGAACUGCCUGCAGGGCCAGUGUAGCAGUCUCACCUUUAAAUAACUGGAGCAGGCAGGCCAGACCAAAAGUACAUAAUUUGGCUGGGUACUCAAACCAAACUGGAUGCACUAAGAGCAUAAACUAAUUUGGUGCCAGGCCAGAACAUAGGCACCCAGACUAUGCUGAUGAUUGGGUGAGUGAGGCCAUACCAGAUUAAACCAGAAGGUGAGUUAGAUGGGGGAAGUCAGGCCAGACCAGAGGCACCCUGAAGACAAGCUGUAAACAAUGGAAGUAAGCUACCUCAAGCUAUAUACAUAAUACAUACAAAUUCAAUAGUCUGUUUCUUUAUCUUGGUGAAUGCUUUAUUCACUGUAACUCCGGUUGACACAUAUACAUGGAUGAACGAGCACCCUACUGUAACUGUUUAGAGUUUCAUGUAACUGAUGUAAUUUCUAUAAUUAAAAGUAACCAAAAAGUUAUAAAAUUUAAGACUGCAGGCCAAGUUCCAGGUCGUGGACUUCUGAGGCUUACCUUGUUCCCUGCUGUGUAACAGAUAUUUAUCAAAGUGGAGUCCAAGCCCAUGUUAAAGGCACCAAGGGAAUCUGUAUAUUUGGGGAGUACCUUUCAUUUAUUGGAACAGCUAGAACAAGUAUACUGGUUGUAGCCGGCAUUGAUUUAUUAUCUUUGUAUUGCAGUCAAUAAUAUGUGAUAGUUGUUGAAGCUGCAAGUCUGGAUGCUGUACUCUGUACCAUCAAACCUAUGCAGGGCCCAAGAAGAAAUGGCUUGGAAGAUAGCAAAGAUGAUUGUAAAUGAUGUCAUGCAGCAGGCACAGUGGAGUGCUUCUCCAGAGAAAUCUACAAAGGAGAAACGGUUAUGGGUUGCAAGCUGUGUAGAGUCGAGAACUCAAUUAUUCCUACAAAGCAUGAGAAUGCUUACGUGGAGAUCCUAGAGAUCAGUGAUGUGCGUGACUCUUUGGUGGAGUUUACUGCCACCUUAGAGCUGCCCGACCACCCGGCUCAGCCAUCUUUCCUAGAAUCUCCACGUCCUGCUGGGAAUGAAGAGGACCCUGGCUCUUCCCACAACAUCGGAGGGGCCAUUCCUUUUCAUGAGCCUGAGGGCUCCGUACCAGCAGAGACUAUGACCAGGGAUACAGCCAGCCCCACCAAUUUCAUCUGGCCUUCAUUUGAUGCCACGGUGGAGGUCCCUGGUAUAGAGAAUAUAUCCGAGGCACUGGUGGUCAUUUCCAUGAGGGCUAAUUCAUAUGAACCACCAGCAUUGGCAGUUUUUUCGGAUCCUGAUUGUGAUGCUGGCAUGUCCAAUAACAACGGACUUAUAGUUCCCAAUCAGAAGCAAGAGUCUGAGCCAGAGAAGGACACCGAGGAUGAUAAUUCCACCUCUUCCAGUCCUUCAUUACCACUCUGCAGUCCUGACUUUGGUUCAGAUUCUGCCAAUAACAUACAGGGUGCUGAAGGACCAUCUAUCAGCCCUGUUGAGCCCAGAUCUCCCUCACUUGGAAAUUUCAACCUGGGCCCAGUGUUGGGAGAAGGAGCAUUUGGGAAGGUAUUCCUAGCCGAGCACAAAAACACCAAAGAACUAUGUGCUAUCAAGGCCCUGAAAAAAGAGGAGAUUUUGAAAAGGGGCAACUUGGACAGUGUCUUCAAAGAGAAGGAAAUCCUCCAGAGGGUGAGUUCUGCCGAACACCCGUUCCUAGUGUCAAUGCAUGGAACCUUCCAGACGGAGUCUCACCUAUUUUGUGUGAUGGAAUAUCUCCCUGGAGGUGACAUGUAUGAAAUUGUAACAUCCGUGGAACUGCAAGAACCUGACGUCAUGUAAGUAGAAUGGGAAUGAGGGAAUAAGUUUCUCUAAGGGGCACUUUCAGUGAAGCAUCAUCUCAGCAUAUAUUUUUACAAUGUAACGUAAUACACGCAAAGCUACACCUAUCAUACAGAUAACUGCCUUUGUUCUCACUAUGAUCACCUCAAUUCUCACACAUCAGCUUAUAUAUCAAUAAAGAAAAAAUAUUUAAAGUAACUGAAUUUUAUUUUUUCUCUUUUCAGGUUUUACACCGCAUGUGUCGUUCUUGGCCUGGAGGCAUUACACCACCUUGGCAUUGUCCAUAGGUAAGCAUUAAUAUUAAUAAAAUCAUCUUUAUUUCCAGAUCGAGCUGGUAACAGUGUGUUAAUCAUUCGCUUGCUGUUAUUGUAAGGAUUUCUUUUUGUAUAACUACUAAACUAUUGACUUGGUUUUAAUUCAGAGAUAUAAAGCUUGAGAAUUUGCUGUUGGACCGGGAUGGCUACCUUAAGAUCGUAGACUUCGGCCUCAGCAAAGACAGUAAGUGUUGCUUAUAAUUCUGGGGCAUACAGGGGAUAAGAUCAGAUUAUUAGGUAUUGUUAUAUUUAGAUAUAGUGUUAUAUAUAAGUGGCAUAAACAGAUCUGAGUGGCUGUGUAGUUUGAAAGGAAGCAGUUAAGGAAAGUUCCUCAUUACUUUACAUUAGGGCCCCAGAUCUGCAGUUUCCUCACAGUGUUUCUUGUGUUUAAGGCUUUGGAUACAGCGACCGCACUAACACCAUGUGCGGCACAAAAGCUUACAUCGCCCCCGAGAUCUUCCUGAAACAUGGAUACGGCAUGGCCGUUGACUGGUGGGCCCUAGGAAUCACCACCUAUAUAAUGCUCAUGUGUGAGUUACCAUUCAACAACGAAGACCCGGUUGAGCUAAUGCAGAGCAUCCUUUACGACAACAUCGAGUUACCAGACUAUCUAUCAGAGGAUGUCUCUGCAUUUAUAAAAGAACUUUUAGAAAAAGAUCCAGAACAUCGCCUCGGUUCGGGUGAGGCUGGUGCAGAAAUGGUGAAAGAGCACCCCUUCUUCAAAGAUAUGGACUGGGACCAUCUAGUACACCGAAGCAUAAGGCCUCCAUUUGAACUGGACAACCAAGACCACCUGGAGAGCCAAGAGAACCCUGAAUGCCAAGCUCCGGCACUGACACCGCCUGCUGUAAGGAUUCCAUCAGAGCUGCAAGAGGCAUUCAGAGGAUUCUAAAUGAACAUCAAAUAAGUAGACGGAAUAGAUGGGGAGGGUGGAGGGCCAGUCCAUAUCUAUAGAAGAAGUCCAUUCAUGAAGAUCAGAGAUCUAGAAUAUCGAAUAUCCAGAAGAUCCAGAAUACCUAGAAAGAUCCAGAACAUCGCCUCGGUUCGGAUGAGGCUGGUGCCGAAAUGGUGAAAGAGCACCUCUUCUUCAGAGGUAUGGACUGGGACCAUCUAUUACACCAAAGAAUAAGGCCUCUGUUUGAACUGGACAACCAAGACCACCUGGAGAGCCGUGAGAACCCUGAAAGCACUGACACCGCCUGCUGUAAGGAUUCCAUCAGAGCUGCAAGAGGCAUUCAGAGGAUUCUCAAUGAACAUCAAAUAAGUAGACGGAAUGGAUGGGGAGGGUGGAGGGCCAGUCCAUACCCAUAUAAGAAGUCUAUUCAUAUAAAGUGACAAUCAGGUGAGCCACCUUAAUAAGUUCUGACUGAGUAGGCAAAUGUAGGAAUAGUCUGCUCAUGGUUUGUAACAUAUUCCAAAACUUCACCUGUAUAACAGGCAAGUAAGAUCUAGAAGCAAGGUGAGAAACAAACUGUAUUUUUAUCACAACAGCUGACACUGUAACAUCCUGCCUGGUUUUAAACCAGCACUCUGCAGGUUAUUAUGCAGUCUGUUAUAACGCUGCUCUAUUUGAACAGAUAACUAAGUGUUUGGUUCAGUUUGCCCCACAAUGCAUUCUGUAAUUACUGACUCCUUCUCUACAAUCGACAUUUGGCACCCUUGCCUGCCCCAUGGGAGUCUCUGGAUUCUUAUAUGGUAAGACCUGUUAGCACCCGAGCAGCUGAGAUUUAGGCCCAAAGCCAAAGGUGGCUGUUAUAGAAGAGCAGGCCAAGACUCCCUGUGGUUUGGGAUUCCCUUAAGUGACAAACAGGAAAGUAAAACCUGGCACUAAGUUAGGAAACAAACCAAUAGUUGGCACUACCUCACAUUAUUUGUAUUUGUUUUCUGGUAAGGUUGCAGUUGCCACCUUGGGAGAUCCAGAGAAGAAGAUAUUGAAGAUAUUAAAGAUGGUUACCAUGUUUAUCCAUGCCAAGAUGUGAGAUAGCGUGGCGACAGUCAAAGGAAAUCUUAUUCUGUAAUGAAGAUCAUGGAUCAUAUACUGAACAUUGUACCAAACACUCACUGGAGUCCGUGUGAAGAAAGAAGCCUGUACCCCACCUGCCUAGUGCCACCCAUUUUUCCUACUCCAAUAGGCACUAUUUCAUAUAUAACAUGUUUGUUCUGCUCACAUUAUGUAUAUAAUUAUACAAAUAAAAAUAUUGCUUCUAAGAA